GCGCGACCACGCCAGCUUCCAUGGUUUGGGGGAGCCUUCCCUAUGAGGAUCCAGCGUGUCGUCCUCGUCGCACCCUAAUUAGGUUUCUGGUGUGUCCGCACCGCCGCACCCUAAUUUGAUUUCGACUGGAGUCUAGGACGUCAGCGCCACGAGGUCGUUAGCACUGCCGUCCAGGUGAUAAUAAACGCCGUUCACCACAACAAGAGGUGAGAGGCAGAUUCCAGAUAAGGGAGCAAACUGCGUAGCAAGAUCAAUAAUGAAUGGUUCAAGUCAUGUGUUACAAGUUACAAUGAGCAGGUGGUACUCAAGUCCGUUGAUGAUAA